rnacentral:rRNA from 1 species
UACGUAGGGUGCGAGCGUUAAUCGGAAUUACUGGGCGUAAAGCGUGCGCAGGCGGUUCGUUGUGUCGGUGGUGAAAGCCCCGGGCUCAACCUGGGAAUGGCCAUGGAAACUGGCGAACUGGAGUGUGGCAGGGGGGGGUGGAAUUCCGCGUGUAGCAGUGAAAUGCGUAGAGAUGCGGAGGAACACCGAUGGCGAAGGCAGCCCCCUGGGCUAGCACUGACGCUCAGGCACGAAAGCGUGGGGAGCAAACAGG